AGACGUCCUUCUGACUUGCUGAAAUACGAAGGAAACAGAGAAAAGGAGAUUCUUAUAAAAAAUGUGGCCGUGAACCAACUCCAGCAUCCUGUGAACGUACUGAUGGGAGUUUUGUCCUCAAAUUCAGAACUGCUUCAGCAUGACUUCCCCGAGAGCGUCUCCACAUCCUCACUCACCACAAUUGUAUUUGGCUCCUCAUCCGUCCCUCCUGCCACACUGAAUCCCAGACCCGAGCCUUCUUUUUUGGUCAAGACUAUAAAGCAGACAUCUUCUUUAUUCUAUUGAGAAGAAACAGAAGGAAAAAGUAUAUUCCCUGUGCCAAGACUAACAGCAUCCUGAAGGGUGAUCGACCGUUAGGCCGGAUUUUGCUUAUGAGAAGCUCAGUACAGCAUCAGGAAAGCUAGAAUCACCAUCAGGGGCUCCCCAAGGUUUAGCUCUCCAGAAACCAGAAGACCAGGGCUUGUUUUUUGACUCUAGUCUCUCACAGCGCCCUCAGAAGCCAAAGAAACUGUUUUGAACAGUUCCAUUUUCAGCACCUACACACCAUACUCAUUGAGAAAAAGCAAGGCAGGAAACUUCUGGUCUAAAGAUGGCAGAGUGAGGACGUCUGUACUUGCCCGGAACCAACUGAAGACAGCUGCAUGUUGAAGAAAACAAGCAUGAUCUUCAACACCACGCACAACACCUGCCUGCCUGGUGGUGAAUAGGAAGGUGAGGGAGGCCCCACAUGACUCCAGGUGGCGCUCGGCACCCUGUGCACACACACAGUCUACCCUGGGGUCCCUCCCUUUUGUGAGGUUGGUUGAGACCAUUUUAUCUAACAUGAGUACAGGUGGCCCCUGGCACAGUGUGAUCAGACCUUGACUGGAAAUCACCAAGUGAGUCCACGUGCAAAAUGCUUGCUUACUGCAACAAGUGGAAGGAGGGAGGAGACAAUAGAUUAGUCCCUUUUACUGAAGUGAAAAAUGCUAGAUGCCUCACGGUGUUUCCUGGCUGCACAGACCCAGACCAAUGGGCGGAGAACCAGGAGAGGCCGCUAAUGGCCACUGGUCUCAUCCCACCCACCUCCUCUUCCUCUGGCUCACUCCUCAUGGGAGGCCAGCGUCACAGCCCUUCUAGUGUUAGAAUUCUGGAUGAUACCAGUGACCCAGGUACUCAAGGAAAAUUGCUUAUACUUGCUUUUUUCUCUAAGUAGAAAAUUUUCAUUUCUUAGGGUUUGAAUCUCUGUGGCUAGUCCAGAGAAGCAUUCUAGAUAGGAACACCUGGUUUCAAUUGUUACUGUUACCAUCACAUCCAAUUUCUUAUGACUAUUUAGCUUCUUUGUCUGGAACCCCAGGCUUCAGAAACUCUUACACUUGGAGCCAGGGCAAGGCCACACAGGCAUUAACUCAUCUCCCCAGCAGGUGGCGCCCUUGACAGGUAGUUUAUGUCCACCUAGGUGGACAAAGGUGCUUGUGCUCAUUCUCCACCACAAGUACCUUUGAGGACUCUGCAGACAAACUCCAAAUGCAGGGUGGGGUGGGGCGGUCAGUAACUAGUCCCCACUGGGAAAUUAAAUGAGCAACUGCACCAAUCUGGCACCUAAAAACACAAGACAAGGUUUAGCUUCUAAAGCAGUCUGCAAGCAAGUGAGAUUGGGCUGUGAGCUCACAACAGGAGACCUGGAGAAGGGCUCGCGGACCUCUGAGUGCAUGGCCGUACCUGGGCACUGACGUGGCAGCAGUUCUGUGUUCCCUGCAUUGCACUCACCUCUGAUUGUGCUUUCGCUUCCUGCAUGAGAGUCAGGAUGGUAGAUUUUGACCUCGCCGAUGACAAAACAGACUGUAGUCUUUGCUGGUCCCCCGCUGAGACUAGAAGUUGAUCCAAACUAAAUAAUAUAAAUACAUUAGGAGAACAUUAAAGAAAAAACAAUUUAUUUUGUAACGACGCAUUAAAAAUGAUCUCCUUUAGAUUGUAUUGUAGGUAUUUUCAGUGGAAAUAACUAUGGAUUCAGGGAUUCCCCAAGGUGUUAGGGGACCAAUGUGGUAAACCAAAGUUGUUAUAUUAAAAGAUAUACAAUGUAUAGGCUCAAAUGAAA